rnacentral:rRNA from 1 species
GACAGAGGCCUCAAGCGUUAGGCGGAAUCACUGGGCUUAAAGCGUGUGUAGGCGGAUCGUUAAGUGUCUUGUGAAAUCCCACGGCUCACCCGUGGAACUGCUGGGCAUACUGGCGAUCUUGGGCCAACUAGGGGCAACUGGAACAAGCGGUGGAGCGGUGAAAUGCGUAGAUAUCGCUUGGAACGCCGAAGGUGAAAACAGGUUGCUGGGGUUGUGCCGACGCUGAGACACGAAAGCCAGGGGAGCAAAUGGG